UAGGGAAUCUUCGGCAAUGGGGGGAACCCUGACCGAGCAACGCCGCGUGAGUGAAGAAGGUUUUCGGAUCGUAAAGCUCUGUUGUUAAGGAAGAACGAGUGUGAGAAUGGAAAGUUCAUGCUGUGACGGUACUUAACCAGAAAGGGACGGCUAACUACGUGCCAGCAGCCGCGGUAAUACGUAGGGCGCAAGCGUUAUCCGGAAUUAUUGGGCGUAAAGAGCUUGUAGGCGGUUCGUCGCGUCUGGUGUGAAAGCCCAUCGCUUAACGGUGGGUUUGCGCCGGGUACGGGCGGGCUAGAGUGCAGUAGGGGAGACUGGAAUUCUCGGUGUAACGGUGGAAUGUGUAGAUAUCGGGAAGAACACCAAUGGCGAAGGCAGGUCUCUGGGCUGUUACUGACGCUGAGAAGCGAAAGCGUGGGGAGCGAACAGG
rnacentral:rRNA from 1 species